AUAUAAAAAGGCCUUUAAUUUUGAUAUAUGAACAUUACACAUUUAAGUGUUUGUUUGUAUCAGCAAGCAUUUGCCAAAUAUUGAUUGUAUUACAACAAAGUUCUGUGCUACUGUACUUUAGCCUUCACUGAAGACAACCAAUAUAAAUGGGGCGUGUGCAGGAAGACAUAUGUUAGCAAUGUUCAAGUUCAUAUGUUAUCUUAUACACAUCUCAUCUAUAUCUGGCCACAUACUUCCAAAAUGCUGUUCCUCAAUUUACGAGUUUUUAAGGUUGUAUGCCAUUAAUCUUGAAUAAUCAACAUUACUAGUUCUAGUGUUUGAUUGUUUCAGGAAACAUUUACAAAAUAUUGAUCAUAUUUCCACCAAGUUCUGUGGGAUUCUGUGGGAAGUACUGUAGCCUUGACCGAAGACAACAAAUAUCAAUUGGCCGUGUUUAGGAAGAAAUAUAUUAACAAUGUUCAAGGUCAAAUGUUAUUUUAUGCACAACUCAUCUAGAUCUGGCCUAAUUUUGUUUAAAUGCUGUUCCUCAAUUUACAAAUUUUUGAAGGUCGUAUACCAUUUUUUAUUUGGUUUUUAAAAAUUUAAUUUAAUUAGGUUUUUAUUUAAUAAAUUAAUUCUCAAACAACUUUAUUUUUAAAGCCAAAUUAUUCUUAAUUGCUCCGUAUUAUAUAAUAUUUCCCUUAACUUUAUUAUAUUAACAACAAAUAUUAUUCAAUACAUUAUAAAUAUUUUAAGUUCUGUAGUUUAUUGUUAUAAUUUUAAAAUUGUAUAAUAAUAAGAAACCCUCACCUGAUAAUUUAAAUGUGUGAUGUUCAGGAAGCAUCUGCCUCACAAUAGGCAUUCUUCUCCAAAGAUAAACUAUAUGAAUGCGAUGUUUGUGAGAAGAAAUAUGUAAAGAAUGAUUAUGAUCAUAUAACUUCUCUCACAUAUCGCAUACAUAUUUGUUUUAAACUGCUCAUAUGUUACACCUGNAAUUAUGUUUUUAUUUAAUAAAUUAAUUCUCAAACAUCUUUAUUUUUAAAGCCAAAUUAUUCUUAAUUGCUCUGUAUUAUAUAAUAUUUCCCUUAACUUUAUUAUAUUAACAACAAAUAUUAUUUAAUACAUUAUAAAUAUUUUAAGUUCUGUAUUUUAUUGUUAUAAUUUUAAAAUUGUAUAAUAAUAAGAAACCCUCACCUGAUAAUUUAAAUGUGUGAUGUUCAGGAAGCAUCUGCCUCACAAUAGGCAUUCUUCUCCAAAGAUAAACUAUAUGAAUGCGAUGUUUGUGAGAAGAAAUAUGUAAAGAAUGAUUAUGAUCAUAUAACUUCUCACUCAUAUCGCAUACAUAUUUGUUUUAAACUGCUCAUAUGUUACACCUGGUCUACACAUUUGUAACAGUAAUUAUUUUGAAACUCUGUAUUUAGUUUUGCAUACUUUAAAAUUUUUUCUCCCAUUUUAACAAAUUAUUGAAUAUGAUGUUUUACAAAACACUAUGUUCAAAUUUUUUUAUUUUGAAUAAGACUUAUAUCUACAUAGUAUUAAACAUCUGACAAGAAAUGUAUGAAUAUUAUUGUUGCAUUUUUUAAAAGGACAUAAUUUUAAUGAUAUAAGGCCUUUGAUGUAGAAUUAUGAACAUUACUUAUUCUAGUGUUUGUUUGUACCAAGAAGCAUUUGCGAAAUAUUUCUCAUAUUAUAACCAAGUUCUGUACUCUUGUACUUUAGUCUUGACUGGAGAGAACCAAUAUUUAUGCAGUUUGUGAAGGAAUAUAUAUGUUAGCAAUGUUCAAGUUCAUAUGUUAUCUUAUACACAUCUCAUUUAUAUCUGGCCAUAUACUGUUUAAAUGUAGUUCUUCAAUUUUCACAUUAUUAAAGGUUGUAUGCCAUUAAUAUUUGAUCAUGCACAUUAUUAAUUCUAUUUUUUGAUUGUUUCAGGAAGCAUUUGCCAAAAAUUGAUCAUAUUGCCAUUGAGUUCUGUGCUAUUGCAACAUCACUUUUACUGAAGACAACCAAUACUCAUGCAGUUUUUGUAGGAAGACAUAUGCUAAGUACUUUCAAGACAAGUGUCAUCUUACACACAACUCAUCUUAAUCUGGCUACACACUGUUUAAAUGCAGUUCUUCAAUUUUCACAUUAUUAAAGGUCAUAUGCCAUUAAUAUUGAAUUAUGAAUAUUAUUAUUUCUAGUGUUUGAUUGUUUCAGGAAAGAUUUGACAAAUAUUGAUUAUGAAUAUUAUUAUUUCUAGUGUUUGAUUGUUUCAGGAAAGAUUUGACAAAUAUUGAUC
rnacentral:lncRNA from 1 species